rnacentral:rRNA from 1 species
AGCGAACGCUGGCGGCAGGCCUAACACAUGCAAGUCGAACGGACCCUUCGGGGUUAGUGGCGGACGGGUGAGUAACACGUGGGAACGUGCCUUUAGGUUCGGAAUAGCUCCUGGAAACGGGUGGUAAUGCCGAAUGUGCCCUUCGGGGGAAAGAUUUAUCGCCUUUAGAGCGGCCCGCGUCUGAUUAGCUAGUUGGUGAGGUAAUGGCUCACCAAUGCUACGAUCAGUAGCUGGUCUGAGAGGAUGACCAGCCACAUUGGGACUGAGACACGGCCCAAACUCCUACGGGAGACAGCAGUGGGGAAUCUUGCGCAAUGGGCGAAAGCCUGACGCAGCCAUGCCGCGUUGAUGAUGAAGGUCUUAGUAUUGUAAAAUCCUUUCACCGGUGAAGAUAAUGACUGUAGCCGGAGAAGAAGCCCCGGCUAACUUCGUGCCAGCAGCCGCCGCAGUAA